rnacentral:misc_RNA from 1 species
UUCGCACCCUCUUUGAACAUAAAUACCAAUUACGAUGUUCUUUAAGAUAGCCAUGCUAGUGGUUGAUGGAACAGAUAUACAUUUUAAAGCUAUGCAAAGGCACGGGCCCUUAUCAGAUUUGCAUAUAUGCCAAGCUGGAAACUCCUAAACACCUGAACGGUAUAUUGAUUGAACAGAGCCAUACCUGCACAGGUAAAUGUCUGGCAUUUGACAAGAGAAAUGAUCAGACCUCCUUCUGACACAAACCAGGGCGUUACGAUCCGGAGAUGGGUGGCUCUUCCAAGAACCUCCCCACGCCAGACAAAGAAGACCCAUAUCCUUCAGUGUGACCCUAAAGGAGCUCACCAAGAAGCCACACCAAGACGUGGGCAGGCAUCACAUCGUGAAUCUACUGUGUCCACGCCUCGUAAUGGUACUCGCCAUUCCGUGCCGAAUACUGCUAGAAAUACCAUGGACGCUGAUGACGUAUUUGGUGUCACCAACGUCCCCUUUAAAUGUCCUUCUUUGUCCAGUUCCAGAAAGAAAAGCUGUUGUAUUCCUUCCCGACAAGACUCUCAAAUCGCUCUUAGGAAAGCAAUGAGGUCGCAGAUUGAGCAACAAAGGAAUUCUGCUCUAACAAACCAUGUCCAGUUCGUGACUUCCAAUAAAUUAAACGGAACCCGUUUGACCCCACCAAGAGGCCACUUUAGGCCAGAAAGGGCGAAUGAAAUACAUUCGUUUCCUAGGGCGAUGACAGAUGGAAAUUUCGAAUUAUUGGCGAUUUUAUCUGUGCAAGAACAUAACAUUCCCAUGUCCGUGGACGAAGAUUUGUCCAUGAAUGAUACUUAUGACUGAAGUAAAUCGGUCAAGUCACAGAAAGGAACUAUUUUAUGCAGUUAAAUGUAUAUACACCCCGUUUGAAAACUCUUUACAUAUCGAAUUAAGUCGAACAACAAUAUACUGAGACAUUACGCCAGGAUAAUGUCACCAUGAACGUUGAUAACAGGAUGAUAUCGAUAUAUAAAUGAUAUAUCAUCGUUCUAUGACGAAAAGACAAUCAAAAGCUUACUUAUAUACAUAGGGACUAUACAUUUUAUUACCACUUUAUCAAGUCUCUGUAACAAUUUUAAUAUAAUACAAAUUUAAUUAUACGAAUUUAAAUUUGUGCAUGUUGUAAUAUUCUAUAGCAUUACGAUUUGUAUUAACAAUGCCAAUGUUAACAAUUCAACUAUUCUCCCAACUUUUAUUUGUAAUAAUCUGAAGGUAUAAUAAUGACAAUAAUGUCUUAAUUUAAAAUAUAUUACUGAUCCUAAACUGAAGUAGCCCCAACACUUUAGAUUCAAUGAUGGAGCCUUUGAACAUAUUAACUUUUUAACAUAUUAACAUAUCACUAUCGACUUGAUUUAAGUUGACUGUAGAGGUUUUGUUCCUUCGUUCUUAAAUCAAUGGAAAUAAUAGCAACAAAGUGUUUUUUAUCAACACUUGGAACCUGUACAAUCUCAUUUGAACAUGCUUUAUUUGAACUUUCCUGCUUUUGAUUUCAUGGAUGCUAGAUAAUCAGUUGAAGUUAAGUUUGUGAAGAUCCUUCCCCUUGCUAACAGUAGCCAUAUGGUUCAUUGUGGGGACAGGCUUGGCACGGAUGGUUGGAUUGGUUGGUUGGUUUGUUGUUUUACGCCGCACUCAGCAAUAUUCCAGCUAUAUGACGGCGGUCUGUAAAUAAUCGAGUCUGGACCAGACAAUCCAGUGAUGGAUAUCAUGAGCAUCGAU